GUAUGCAAAGCAGAAUAAGAAGAAGCUGCUUCAACUUCCUUUUUCACUAACUUUCACGCCUGUGGCUUUGUUGCCCAAAGCUGGUCCUAAACCUGCUCACGCUCUCAAUUGGUACGUCAUUCACACGCAAAACCUUACAUUUAUUUAUUCAUUCUCUCUUUUUCUUUUAAUUAAAAUCAGAAAUUCAAAAUCUAACCUAGCAUUUACUCAUUAAAUUCAAAAUCUAAAUUUUGGCUUUUAGAAAGGAGAAUCUAAUGUAACCGUGGAUUACUAUAGAGCAUCUCUACGAUGUCUUUUUAAGGUCCAAAAUCACAUGUGGCCCAACUUUCUUUGUCUCUUCAACUCCUAACCAAUCCCAGCUCACCACAUAAUUACAUCUGAGACCACAAUAUCUCAAUUAUGUUAAUUCCUCCUCCACCUUAAACCUUUGAAAACUACUAAACUGCCCUUAAUUACCAUGAUAUAACACUUUCUGAUUUGCUUUGCCUACCAC
rnacentral:lncRNA from 1 species